AUUGAACGCUGGCGGCAGGCCUAACACAUGCCAGUCGAACGAGUGGCGGAAGGGUGAGUAAUGUCUGGGAAACUGCCUGAUGGAGGGGGAAACCCACUGGAAACGGUAGCUAAUACCGCAUACCAUCAGAUGUGCCCAGAUGGGAUUAGCUUGUUGGUGGGGUAACGGCUCACCAAGGCGACGAUCCCUAGCUGGUCUGAGAGGAUGACCAGCCACACUGGAACUGAGACACGGUCCGGACUCCUACGGGAGGCAGCAGGGGGACAUAGUGCAAAACGGGCUCAAUCCUGAGGAACGCCAGCCGCGUAUAUGAGGAAGGGAGUUGGGUCGUGGAGUACGUGCAGUUGGGAAGGGGUUCCCGCAGAAGAAGCACCGGCUAACGCCGUGCCAGCCGCCGCGGUAAUUC
rnacentral:rRNA from 1 species